GACGCACGCUGGCGGCGUGCUUAACACAUGCAAGUCGAACGAAGUGGCUAACGGGUGAGUAACGCGUAAUCAACCUGCCCUUCAGCGGGGGACAACAGUUGGACACGACUGCUAAUACCGCAUACUGAAGGAGGGGCUUGCGUCUGAUUAGCUAUGUGGCGGGGUAACGGCCCACCAAGGCGAUGCUCAGUAGCCGGUAUGAGAGGAUGAACGGCCACAUUGGUACUGGGACACGGCCCAGACUCCUACGGGAGGCAGCAGUGGGGAAUCUUCCGAAAUGGACGAAAGUCUGACGGAGCAACGCCGCGUGAGUGAUGACGGCCUUCGGGUUGUAAAGCUCUGUUAAUCGGGACGCGGUACCGGAAUAGAAAGCCACGGCUAACUACGUGCCAGCAGCCGCGGUAAUAC
rnacentral:rRNA from 1 species